CGCAAAUUUGAAAAUGACGAGCCAUAAGCAAAUUGCCCAUAACUACGAUGGAUUCAAUGAAUUAUUUAAUUGUGUGACACGUGGCAUAUAACCGACACACACAGAACCUUCGUACGACACCCUUGCUUUUUAUCUCCUCAAGAACCUCUAGUCACUUCACUUCCAAACCUUCAAGACUUGCAUCUCCUGCUACAUUAUUCAAACCCUAACCCCAAUACGCAUACAUACAAUACAAUUCAUUUGAGUUAAGAUAAAGCAAGUUUACUGACAAUGUAAGUUGGUUUCUAAUUUAAUUGAGGUAUGAAGUAAUUCAAGAUGGGAUACAAGUGGUUUGAGCCGAUGGCGAGGAGGAUUCCGAAAAGGGUGUGGCUUGGGUACCAAAUGUCAAUGGGUUUACUCGUGGGUGGGAAUCACACAUCCUCCAGGUUUUGCACACGCUAAAUAGUUCGUUUUCUUCGUUGUUUGGCUUUUUUCUGAUUUGAUAUAAUCUACUUGUGUUUUGCUUUGAGUGAAUCACGGUGCAAUUAUAGAUCUGGCACUUUGAAUUGCUUAAAAGAUCUGGAUUUGGGAUUUAAAAAGAGAACUUAAGUGUAAAAAAUGGAUUUGAACUUGUUGAAAUGGCGAAUUAUUCGUGGGUCAUUCGUCAUGCAUGUGGUACUGAGAGCUUUUAUGUUUGUACUGGCUACGACUAUUCUGUCGUUUAUGCAAAUGACCCAUGAGGCGGGCAUAAUUGGGCGAAUGGUAUCGAAUAUUGAUGUGUGCCCAUUGAGUUUUGGCUCGAACCAGGAUUUAAAUUUCACCGGGCAUCUGAAGCCCACAUCGGCACCUGGUUUUAUGUCUUCCCUAUUUGGGACAACUCCUAUGCCGUGCAUAGAAAGUCAAAACUUCACAAAGAAUGUGUUCAAAGAGCUAAUGGAGAAGAAUCUUUUAGAUUCUAAUGCUAAAGCAUUAUGUGUUGGGGAGAGAUCUGCCUCCACAGUAUUGACGUUGCGGGAGUUAGGAUUGUCCAAUGCCUUUGGUGUAGAUAGACACCCAUUCUUCUCCCUUGUGCAGAGAAGAUUCGUUUAUGAGCUCAACUUUGAGAAUAAUCAUUUUGAUUUUGUGUUCUCGAGAGAUCUUGACAGGGUUUCUGUACCAUCUCUUCUUGUUCUUGAGAUUGAGCGUGUUUUACGUCCUGGUGGAAUUGGUGCUAUUCUUGUGGGAGGACGUAAUUUCCACUCCGGUAGCUUGGUAAGGUUGGCCACACCGGUCGUAUCAUUCUUGAAGAGUUCUGAUGUUAUUUAUGUAUGCGGUGUUGGAUCCUCUACGCUGGUGGUGUUUAAGAAGAGAUAUGAAAAUUUUUCUGCCUUUGAGCAUUUCCAGCUUCCAGAUAAGUGCCCGUCAGUUACGAAAAAUAUAGCGUUUAUGAAGUUUAUGGAGCCUCUUGUGGAUGGAAAGUCAGGGCAAUUUGAGCUGGAGCCUGCAUAUCUGGCUAACUUCAGGAACAUUUCCUCAAGGAACAAAUUAGUGUACAUUAACAUUGGUGCAGGGGAGUUUGCAAAAGAAAGUGUCGCAAAAAUGUCCAAGAAUUAUUGUUCUAAUCACCAUGCAUGCUUCGAUGUUUUUGUUAUUGAUCAUAGAACAUCUGUCCUCUCUUCAUAUGUGACAGGUCCCGGUAUCCAUUUUAUUUAUCAUCCCAGCCUUUCCGGAGAGAAUGCUGCUCGUGAAAUCAACUCUGAUGAAUAUUUUAGUGCACCACCAGAUGAAGGCGAGUUUGACUUUAUUCACUGGUUCAAUGAAACAGUUGCUGAUGGAGAUUUCGUGGUACUCGUGAUGAACACCAAGCCGGUAGAGCUCAAUAUUCUUGUUGAAUUAUUUAAAACCGGAGCAAUAUGCCAUGUUGAUGAACUCUUCCUUAGGUGUUCAAACGAAGAAGAUUGUAAAACAACUACAUGUGGAGACUGUACGCGUCUUUUCAAAAGCCUAAGGAAGAGUGGCGUGUAUGUGCACCAAUUGUUGGGUGAUUAAGCUUCGACCAAAAUGUGGUGAAUUUCAUAUCUUGUUUUAGCCUUUGCUUUAAUUUCGUAUGGAGUUGUUGGGAAAUUAAUCCGUGUGUGAAUUUCCUAACUCGUUUCAGUCUGUCGUUUGAUUACGUGUGAUGAAUAAAACAAGGAGCCAUGGUGGAUUGAGGUUAUAAUCUACCACUCUCCUCUGUUGAACUGAGUUUGAUCCCCUUUAUCAGUUGAAUGGAAUGAUUUCCUCUUUGUUGUUCUGAUUCUACAUGUUAAUGCGUUAUAUUUGGAAAACUGAGAGGAGUUGUUAAUAGGAAUUUGGAAAACCUUUUAUGAUGUCUGGUUGGAGUAAAUCCAAAACAGUGAAACACAGCUAGAAUUUGCUUAUAACUGCACCAAAAAUUGAACCUUUUUUUUUUUUUUUUUUUUUGAAAAAACGGUCAAACUUUAUUCAUUCACCCCUCGCUUAUGGCUGAGGAAUACCAUUGAGACAAAUUCAACAGAACAAAUAUAAGAAC
rnacentral:lncRNA from 1 species